UGCCAGCAGCCGCGGUAACACGGGGGGUGCGAGCGUUGUUCGGAAUUACUGGGCGUAAAGCGCGUGUAGGCGGAAUGUUAAGUCAGAUGUGAAAGCCCACAGCUCAACUGUGGAACUGCAUUUGAAACUGGCAAUCUAGAGUGCUGGAGAGGGAAGGGGAAUUCCAGGUGUAGAGGUGAAAUUCGUAGAUAUCUGGAGGAAUACCGGUGGCGAAGGCGCCUUCCUGGCUUAAAACUGACGCUGAGGUGCGAAAGCUUGGGUAGCGAACGGGAUUAGAUA
rnacentral:rRNA from 1 species